rnacentral:lncRNA from 1 species
AAUGAUGGCAUAAAGAAGGGUGACCUAGCAACUGUGAUGAGGUCAGAAAGAAGCAGAGUGGAGGGCUUGGGGGCUUCUCCAGGGGAGUCUGAACUGGACUACUUUUUUCAAUUUUCAAUGGAAAAUGAAUUGAUAAUGAGAACAAAUAGGAGAGACAGAAAAAAAAUCAGUAAUACUGCGGAGAUACUGUCUCUACAUCUCAUCUGAGAUGGCCAAAGGUAGAUGUCCAGGGCAAGACGAGGAGCCAGGACUCACAGAGCAGAAAGUAAUCUGCUCAUGGCAUUCCCGUGUUGUAAGAUGAAUUAAAUGGAUGAUUCUGAUUUCAUGGUUGGGUUAUAAGUAGUCCUGGAAAUAAGUCAUACACUAAAUAGUCAAUAAACAUUUGUUGACUUGACCUGCAUGGAAAAUAUUGCUAAUCAACAUAACUUGGAUGGUCUCAAUGGAUACUGCUCAAUUCAUUCUAUUAAUAUACCAUAGAAAGUCACCACCAAAAAUC